UUAUGCAUAUUCACAUACAAGUAUCACACAACUUAAAUAUUCAUAUACCAUAUAAACCCAAAUUUAUGCAUACAAAACAUCAUCUUUCGUUAAUCACAUAACAACACCAAAUAAUAUCAUCGAUUUAAUUAUUAUAAUUAAAUGAUUUUUCUAAAUCAAUUAUUAACACUCAACAACUUAAUGUAAUCAUAUAAUGAAUUAAUUUAAAUCACCCAAAACAUGUCUAACAACAAUUAACAUGAAUCACACAACAACACAAUACAUAAAACU
rnacentral:lncRNA from 1 species